rnacentral:rRNA from 1 species
AACGAACGCUGGCGGCAUGCCUAACACAUGCAAGUCGAACGAGACCUUCGGGUCUAGUGGCGCACGGGUGCGUAACGCGUGGGAACCUGCCCUUAGGUUCGGAAUAACUCCCCGAAAGGGGUGCUAAUACCGGAUAAUGUCUUCGGACCAAAGAUUUAUCGCCUUUGGAUGGGCCCCGUUGGAUUAGCUAGUUGGUAGGGUAAAAGCCUACCAAGGCGACGAUCCAUAGCUGGUCUGAGAGGAUGAUCAGCCACACUGGGACUGAGACACGGCCCAGACUCCUACGGGAGGCAGCAGUGGGGAAUAUUGGACAAUGGGCGAAAGCCUGAUCCAGCAAUGCCGCGUGAGUGAUGAAGGCCUUAGGGUUGUAAAGCUCUUUUACCCGGGAUGAUAAUGACAGUACCGGGAGAAUAAGCGCCGGCUAACUCCGUG